AACCCAUAGUGAGGGCACCUUUUGAAAAGGUCUUUGUAUCUCUCCCAUGCAUCUAAAGUGUUUUUAAAUCCAUCUAAACAAAAGAAGAGAUAUCGUUACGUAAUUU
rfam:Gossypium hirsutum cultivar TM-1 chromosome 5, whole genome shotgun sequence